UACAGAGGGUGCAAGCGUUAAUCGGAAUUACUGGGCGUAAAGCGUGCGUAGACGGUUAUGUAAGUCAGAUGUGAAAGCCCAGGGCUCAACCUUGGAAUUGCAUUUGAGACUGCAUAGCUAGGGUGCGGAAGAGGGAAGCGGAAUUUCCGGUGUAGCGGUGAAAUGCGUAGAUAUCGGAAGGAACACCAGUGGCGAAAGCGGCUUCCUGGUCCAGCACCGACGUUCAGGCACGAAAGCGUGGGGAGCAAAAGGG
rnacentral:rRNA from 1 species